rnacentral:rRNA from 1 species
GACGAACCGUGCGAACGUUGUUCGGAUUCACUGGGCUUAAAGGGCGCGUAGGCGGGCGGUCAAGUCAGGGGUGAAAUCUUUCGGCUCAACCGGAAAAGUGCCUUUGAUACUGGCCGUCUCGAGGGAGGUAGGGGCAUGCGGAACUUCCGGUGGAGCGGUGAAAUGCGUAGAUAUCGGAAGGAACGCCGGUGGCGAAAGCGGCGUGCUGGACCUCUUCUGACGCUGAGGCGCGAAAGCCGGGGAGCAAAGCGGG